AAUAGAAUAAGUUAGGGUUUCUCACGCAGAUAAAUACUUGGAAAGCUUCAAGACACUCAAUUCACUCACCUCCUCCCUUCUCUGUAAAUUUCGUUUGUAUUCCAUCUCUGCAUCUGCAAUUACAAGGCUUACGUGAUACACCACAAUGCGAGCGAAGUGGAAGAAGAAGCGUAUGAGGAGGUUGAAGAGGAAGCGCCGAAAGAUGAGACAAAGAUCCAAGUAGAAAGUUGUUUUCUUUCAUAAUCUUUCUUUGGACUCAUUUCUCUUGCUUACUGGGAUUUCAGUUGCAUUAUUUUCUAUUUUAAUUUCAUCUCGUAUUCUAUCCUUAUCUAGGUAAGAUCUUGAUUUCAAUGAUGUUCAACUUUAAUGAAUGGUUAUUAUCUUUAAUAUAUUUUUCCGAAAGUUUUGUUCUU